GACGAACGCUGGCGGCGUGCCUAAUACAUGCAAGUCGAACGCAGUGGGGACGGGUGAGUAACACGUGGGUAACCUCCCAUCAGAGGGGAUAACACUUGGAAACAGGUGCUAAACCGAUACUGAUGGAUGGACCCGCGGUGCAUUAGCUAGUUGGUGAGGUAACGGCUCACCAAGGCCACGAUGCAUAGCCGACCUGAGAGGGUGAUCAGCCACACGGGAACUGAGACACGGCCCAGACUCCUACGGGAGGCAGCAGUAGGGAAUAUUCGGCAAUGGACGAAAGUCUGACCGAGCAACGCCGCGUGAGUGAAGAAGGUUUUCGGGUCGUAAAACACUGUUGUUGAGGAGGCGGUAUCUGACCAGAAAGCAACGGCUAACUACGUGCCAGCAGCCGCGGUAAUUC
rnacentral:rRNA from 1 species